rnacentral:rRNA from 1 species
GAUGCCCUGGCAGUCAGAGGCGAUGAAGGACGUGCUAAUCUGCGAAAAGCGACGGCGAGGUGAUAUGAACCCUUGACCCGUCGAUGUCCGAAUGGGGAAACCCAGUGUGAUUCGUCACACUAUCGUUAACUGAAUACAUAGGUUAACGAGGCGAACCGGGGGAACUGAAACAUCUAAGUACCCCGAGGAAAAGAAAUCAACCGAGAUUCCCCCAGUAGCGGCG